GUGUCAGCAGCCGCGGUAAGACAGGGGACCCAAGCGUUAAUCGGAAUCACUGGGCUUAAAGGGUGCGUAGGCGGGCCGCUAAGCGUCUUGUGAAAUCCCCCGGCUCAACCGGGGAACCGCGGGGCGAACUGGCGGCCUUGAGGCAAGUAGGGGCGGGCAGAACAGUCGGUGGAGCGGUGAAAUGCGUAGAUAUCGACUGGAAUGCCGAUGGUGAAGACGGCCCGCUGGGCUUGUCCUGACGCUGAGGCACGAAAGCGUGGGGAGCAAACAGGAUUAGAAACCCCAGUAGUCC
rnacentral:rRNA from 1 species